rnacentral:rRNA from 1 species
NAUACNNCCACNACUAAAGNAUCCGCCUGAGAACUACGAGCACAAACGCUUAAAACUCUAAGGACUUGGCGGUGCCCCAGACCCACCUAGAGGAGCCUGUUCUAUAAUCGAUAACCCACGAUGCACCCAACCGCCCCUUGCCAGAGCAGCCUAUAUACCGCCGUCGCCAGCUCACCUCGCCUGAGAGCACAACAGUGAGCAUAAUAGCCCUAGCCACGCUAAUAAGACAGGUCAAGGUAUAGCCUAUGGGGCGGAAGAAAUGGGCUACAUUUUCUAAAGUAGACAAUUCCACGGAAGGGGACAUGAAAUCGUCCCUAGAAGGAGGAUUUAGCAGUAAAGCGGGACAAUAGUGCCCCCUUUAAGCUGGCCCUGAGG